GUUCUCUUGACCGCUUCAUUAGGGUUUACUUCGUUGUUUGAUGCCCUGCUGAAGUGUUUGGGGGAACUC